AACGAGCGCUGGCGGCAUGCCUAACACAUGCAAGUCGAACGAGACCUUCGGGUCUAGUGGCGCACGGGUGCGUAACGCGUGGGAACCUGCCCUUAGGUUCGGAAUAACUCCCCGAAAGGGGUGCUAAUACCGGAUAAUGUCUUCGGACCAAAGAUUUAUCGCCUUUGGGUGGGCCCGCGUUGGAUUAGCUAGUUGGUAGGGUAAAAGCCUACCAAGGCGACGAUCCAUAGCUGGUCUGAGAGGAAGAUCAGCCACACUGGGACUGAGACACGGCCCAGACUCCUACGGGAGGCAGGAGUGGGGAAUAUUGGACAAUGGGCGAAAGCCUGAUCCAGCAAUGCCGCGUGAGUGAUGAAGGCCUUAGGGUUGUAAAGCUCUUUUACCCGGGAUGAUAAUGACAGUACCGGGAGAAUAAGCUCCGGCUAACUCCGUG
rnacentral:rRNA from 1 species